UCCUGACUACUCAAACUGUGGUUGAUGGGCUAGCAGCUUAAGCUCCAUCUGGAGCACUGUAUAAAUGAGAAUUUCAGGACCAGGACCACUCUGCAGAAUCAGGAUCUGCAUUGAACAUGCUGCCCAAACCAUUUGCUACACUUACUAAAGUUUUAGAAGCACUGCUCUAGGACCAUCUUUCUCUAAGUGUAAUCCUAAAACACUCAGAGCUUUUCUUAAAAACCAAAUUUCUAGGCUCACUGCAGGACUGUAUAUGGGUCCCUGGAGGUAAAUUCUAGAAUCUGCAUUUUCAGCAAGUGCCCUUGGUUCCUGUGCGCAUGCAGAUGUAAGAAUCCAGUGCCAGAUGGAAGGAAUCAGUAGAGAUGGCUGUGGGCUGGAAUGGAACAAUGACAUUUAGGAACUGUGCACCAUGUCACAGCCCCUGCUGGAGAUCAAUACAGCAGAUCCAGUUGGUUGUGGAAAACACAGACCUCUCCCCGUGGCAAGAAUCAUAAGGAUGCAAUGACAAGAGACUAUUACAACUAGCUCUCACUGAUGGCCAGGUGAUGAAACCCAGGUUCUGAUAGUGAAAAUCCCAUGCUGGUCAGGUUCUCACAAGAGGCCACGGGAAAGCCAUGUCCAUUUCAGGAAUUCCAGCUCCACUGGGUCCCAGGUCCAUCCAGGCCAAAGAAUGAGACUGUUUGCCACAGAAGAAUCUUGCAAAGUUAAAAUGGUGGCCUCAUUAUCUGCCUUAGUAAUAGUCACCUGCCUCAUCCUGAAAACAAGUGUGACCAAGGACAGCUUUGGCUUUGGGAACUCACAUGGGAAUCAUUAUAGAUUAAAGCACAGGAAGCCCUACCAGUUCCAAGUAGCACCAAAUGAUGCAAUAAAAGUAAUGGUGACUGCUCUGGAGGAUUAG
rnacentral:lncRNA from 1 species